ACCUUUAUAUCGUGACAUGGAGAAAGGAGAUGAAGACUGGAACGAGUUCAAUGAUAUCAACAAAUUGAUCAUCAGGUCACCACUUAGGACAGAGUACAGAAUUGCCUUCCCUCAUCUCUAUAACAACAGGCCAAGAAAGGUCAGGCUUGGCAUAUAUCACACUCCGAUGAUCAUGUACAUAAAAACAGAGGAUCCUGAUCUACCUGCUUUUUAUUAUGAUCCGCUGAUACAUCCCAUAGUCACCAAGGACCGAAGAGAGAAGAAAGUUUCUGAUGACGACGACGACGAUGAUUUCGCCUUACCUGAGGGUGUGGAACCGUUGCUGACAGAGACUCCAAUCUAUACUGAUACUACUGCUGCUGGUAUCUCCCUAUUGUUUGCCCCACGCCCAUUUAACAUGAGAUCUGGUCGAACAAGACGUGCUGAAGAUAUUCCCCUUGUUUCUGAUUGGUUUAAGGAGCACUGUCCUCCAUCAUA
rnacentral:misc_RNA from 1 species